AGAAUCAAGAUGAUGAAAUCAGGAAAUCUUAGGACACCUUCUGACACAGUACCAUUCUGUGUAUGAGAAAAGAUUUUCGAUUCUGAUAAUUCA
rnacentral:snoRNA from 1 species